CUUAGCUAAUCAAAUGAGUAAUGACAUAAAUAGAUGAAAGGUUUCAGUUGUAUGCAUGACAAAACAUGCCAAUAAAUUAACUCGGACUAUAUUAAACCAGGGGGAAAAUUAGGUUUAUGAUACAGCAUCAACUAUAUCUAGAAACAACUUUUAUCAAGAACAAUGAAACAAGUCACUAUACAUAGUUUAAACGAGGCCAGGUGCGGUGAGAAUAAAAAUACAUAACUCCUGCCUUCCUGUGAAAAUGCUAAUACAGAUAGCCUCUACUUUACCAUGAUCUUGAAGUCAACUUGAAUUCGCUAACAAACCAAUGAUGAUUUAGUUUCUUAGUUAAGAUUCCAUGUACUGAGAUGGUGGAGGGCUUGUUUUGGUCUUCUCAGGACCUGCAAAAUGGUUUAACAUCAAACAUUUCGUAUGUGUGCAGUGAUCAGAAAAUGAGGCAGUAGAGAGAAAUUGAUAAUAAGCCAGAUCCAAAUUCAACAGGUUUUGCUGAGAAUGAAAGACGAUCAUGACAACUACUAGGUGAAUUAGCACUUCGAACAAGAUGAAGUUCCCAAUAUUAUAUAUUAAAGCAAUUUGAGGAAUUAUGAGGACAUACCAAUGAUCCCACGGAUCUCCACUUCUCUCCAUUCUUGAACAAGGGCACAGCAGCAACACAUCAAAUGAGAGAGGAAAUCAUCGAUAAAGCCCCCCUGGCAUAGAAAGUAGCUGUGGGUAAAAAAUAUUCGAAGAAACCAACAAAUUUAUGCAUCAUACUAAUUCCAGUGCUCAAAUCUUAACAAAUACAUCUAUAUUUUUAACUCGGCUUGAAAAUUGGAUGAACAGAACCUACUUUGAAUAAUAAGAGUUGGUACAAAUUGAAUAAACAUGGAUUAAUAAUACCGAGUGCUAUGACCAUGCUUAAAAAAACAGAUGGGCACUAUGGAACAUAUCCAGUGCAAUAAGAAUACAUUUACAAUUAAUAUUAAUGCCAAAGAAAGCAUCACAUGCAAUGUGUAUCUUAAAAGCUUAUGAUAUCCAAAAAUCCCAAACACUGGUUGCACCAAAAAAGAGGGAAUGAGAUGUCAUAUUUAUUCAGAGAAGGAAGGAAGCAUUACUGUGAUGUUCAACAUCUUCCGAAGCUUCCUCCUUACGCAGCAAGUAUAGCAACAACAAGACAAAAUUAAUGAAUAUGCCAUCAAGUCAUUACACGCUUCUGCAGAGGCUGAAAAAAAGAAGAAGCUGAAAUCAUAGUAGCAAAGCCUCAAUAAUGCUCAAAGUAUUUCAAACCAACCAUAUUGAAGGUAAGAAUAACAAGCAAAGAGAAAGUUUUGCAACUGAGAACCCUUAGCAUUAACUUUUAACCGAUGGAAAAGUUCUCAAUUACAUAAAAGCAUGUCUUUAUUAUAUGUCAAAUUAGAUGAAUAUAGGAUUAUGUGGCACACGAUGCCACUGAUAAUACUAAAAAGGCUGUCUCUUAAAACAUUGUUUUAACUUUAAAUUUAUUAAAAUUAAGGCCUUUCCAGAUAGUGGGUCUGCAUGGGCCUGGGUGGUCUGAAUCUUUAUCACCGUCAGUCUCCACAACAAAAGAAAUUGCACACAAGACUUCAGCUAUGAAAGGCCCAUAAGAAAGAUUCAUCAUCUCUUUAAUAGUAACAUUAUAUCAUAGCUAACUUACAUAUGGGCCUGUUUCUUGCAACAGAAGCAAUCUUUGAAAAUGUUCCACAAGGAUAGAAGAAUGUCUUCAUACAGAGUGAAGGCUCAGAACAACAAGCAAGUAAAUCAGUGUGCCAAUCUUCAUCCUGAUAUGAACGCCCAGCUGAUACUAGAUCCUUUUGCGCAACUGAAUAUCUGUUUGGCAUCAAUAUGAGUUAGUAAUAAAAAAGGUAAAGACAUCCAAAUUAUUAAAAAUAGCUAUCGUUGACAGCAUGUGACUGGAAUAAAGGGAUGGAAUGGACAAAGCAGAAACUUUUAGAGUAGUCAAAACUAAAUUGACUUCCUAGAUAACAAAGGGGUAAGGUUCAAAAUUUACAUAAAUAUUGUGACUUUCGGUUAACUAGCUAUCCUGAGUGAACCUACAAAAACAUUGAAGUCGAGGAAGAGAGAAAUGAAUAACCUUGAUUGUGAAUGCUUAUCAACUUUUGCAUGGUGUUUUUCAUCAGAUGAAUGCUCGUUGUCACUGUGGUCUUUAGAAUAAUUGUAUUCCUCUUUCUUGUGAUUUUUCUCUGGUGAACACUUCUCUGGAACAGAAUAAGCUGCGACUUCUGUGACAUCUAGUAAACGUUGAAUAACUUGACACUGAUUCAUAUCCAAAUUUGCUUGCGACCGCUGUAGCUCUAAUUUAAGCUUUUCAUUUUCUUUUUUAAGCGCUUCAGUGAAAGAACAGUUGGGAUAAGAACAGGAUAGUGUUUUUUUCAACACAGCAGUGUCAUCGAUGUCAGGCUCUGGUUUAAAAAUAACUGUUUGUGCCUUUUGGUCAUCAUCAUCCAAUGUGUAUUCACGUUGAUCCAUCUCAAUAACUUCAAGUCUCUCCUGAAUAUUCCAGAGAAUGAGAGAAGUAACAGAUUGUUAACCAUAUUUUCAGACCAAAUUUACAAUAGCAUAUGCUAUCAUUACAUUGACAGAGCAGUUCACAAUCCUCAUAAAUAUUGAGAUUCGCAAAAUCCAUAAAUAAAAUGUUUUCACAACAGCCACUCAUGCAUACACAUACAUAUAUACAUACACACUCACAAACUGGGAAGAGAAACAGGGAUUUGAUUAAUUGGUUGAUGCUUUACAACUUGGGCUAGUGCCUUAUUUUAUAGUGGUGCUGGUGCUGAUUGAAAACUAAGGUAAAAGCAAAAGUAAUGCUUGACUCGAUUCACAGGAUCACAAUAAAGCAGGAACCAGACUAUGAGUUGAACCAUAAUUUACAAUAAAUGCUUUGUUAUCCUCGUACAAAAUAGUAAGACACAACAUCAGGGGACAUAAUUGUGUGGAUACAUGUAAUGAAGAAACAGGGCCCUUUUCUGUAUAAGAAUGUCUUAAAGUGUGAAUCUUGAUAUGACUUUCAACAAGAGAAUUUAAGUAAAUGUUAAUUUAGGAGUGAUCAACAAUAAAAAGACCAUUCACAGCUAGAGAUAGCAUAUAAUCGAACACAGCAAAAAUAGCAGAUACCCUGACUCUAGCAUUGUCCACAAGAGUAAUGAGAGGAACAAGACGCAGGUAUCUAUCAAUUUCAUUCUGAGCCUUCCUGAACUGAUAAACAAUGUUCCAGCCCAUAGCCAGCAAAUAGAGGUAGCUACGGUCCUGACAACUAUUGACCAAUAUAUAAGAUCUUCUGAGGGCAUCUUCCAACUGCUCCAGAGGCUCCCUAGUUUCUGGGUACCUCUUCAGCUCCGAGAUCUUGAGCUGCUCCAGCAAAUUCCCAAUCAACUUCAGAUGUUGUGCAAACUGCCUGCAGUUCUUCUUAUGCAUACGAGCAGUGCUUGCAGCUCUCACAAUCAUCCCAAUCAGCUUCACAGCAUCUACGCCAGUCAACUGUGCCACAUUCGCAAGUUCCCCCAUUUGAUCCCAUGACGCCAUGCUCUCUGCAAGUCAACCUAAAAUCCAGUCACAUCAGCUCCGAACACCCAUUCCAA
rnacentral:sRNA from 1 species